rnacentral:ribozyme from 1 species
UGCCCAGCAACUCCUAUCCCUACCUCCUCGUGGUACUGGCCGGAGUACGAGCAACCUUAGGGAACUUAGGUCGUAUGCUGACAGUGGAGG